rnacentral:SRP_RNA from 2 species
GCUGGGCGUGGUGGCGCGUGCCUGUAAUCCCAGUUACUUGGGAGGCUGAGGCAGAAGAAUUGCUUGAACCCAGGAGGCUGAGGUUUCAGUGAGCUGAGAUUGUGCCACUGCACUCCAGUCUGGGUGAUAGAGCAAGACUCUGUCUCAA